rnacentral:lncRNA from 1 species
GCUCCCAUCCCCGCCACUCUGCCGGCCUCCUGCUUAUCUACAUGCCUGCCUAUUCCUUUUUCUGGGCCUGUUUUUCUCUUUCCUUAACAGGCCAGGGACUUGGAGCUGCCCCAGGGCCUGGCUGCAAUGCCGAAGGCAACCACACGAGGGCGCCAGAACCACACUGGUGAGCCUGCUUCCCGCUCAGACCAAGGUCCCUUCAAAAUCGUCCCCCAGAGCCAGAGAGAGGACACCAACCACUGCAGGCCUGGGAUGCUCCCACUCAAGGAGGAAGCCAGGGAGACAAAAUUGGAUUCUAAACUCUGUCCGAGAAGAAUCCCCACCCCUAUCCCAGUCUUCCCAGAGCUACACUGGCCAAGGAUGAAGCCCUCGGAGACCCAGUAGCCGGGUCAUUUCCUGCUGCUGCAGGUUGUACCACGCCAGGUCCGGUUUACUCUCCCUGGGAUGAGUAAAUGCUCCCAGCACCUGUUACUCUGCCUGGAACACCCAGCCCUCAGCCUUCAAAGCCCUUUUCCUGAACGUCGCAGGCAGAUUCAAUUCCCCCACCUGGUUCCUCUCAGCUCCGGGCCCCACCCAAUAACACCCUGCACUGGAAACUUCCUGAGGGUUCCCUCCUGUGUAUCCACCAGGUCCGAGGACCAGUAGGCACACAGCAAAUGUUUGCUGAACAAAUUAAUUUGUUUUCAUCUAACGAGCUCAUUAGGGCUCUAUCUUCCUCUUAAUUAGGAAGCAGGAGGUUCUGCUUUUCCUGUAACAAUUCACCUUUGGGGGAUGAUAGCAGACCUUAGCCUCUGCAGGCAGAAGGCAAUCAAACUAGAUUUCUGGGGCACACAGUUGCAUUAUAAAGAAAUAACACACGUGUGCUCAGUGAGGUCCAUUUAAACAAGACGACUGUAUGUUAAAAGCUUCGCAUUGAAUAUACAUUAUUAUACAGCUUAUCACACAGAACUCGAGCUUUACAGGACACUUUUUUAGCAGUAGGUGGCUAGCACAGGCUCUUGGCAGCGACACACAGCCCUGAAGACAGGGGAAGGAUAGGCUGCAGGCUGCCACCCGUGCUCGGGGGGCACCUGAGUGGGUCUCCGUGGGGUUCUGGGAGGUGCUCCUACAGUGAAGGCUCUGGCUGUGCUGGCUCCUGCUGGAUAACUUGGUCCAUUUGGUCUUUGCCGGUAACUGAGUCUGGAAGGGCAGAGAGACAGACGUGGCAGCUUGCUGGACGGCCGCCUGAUCCAGCCAGGAUGCUUCAUGGGCAUCGACGGGCCAACUCCGAGUGCCAGCCUUCUCCGUCUGCCGGGUUUCUGCACGCACCGUCCCUGGGGCCUGUGAGAGCAAAUGGUAAGCCUGGCCGUCUGUCCCUGCUAGGCCCUUGGACAAGUGACAUCAA